rnacentral:rRNA from 1 species
AUUGAACGCUGGCGGCAGGCCUAACACAUGCAAGUCGAACGAGUGGCGGACGGGUGAGUAAUGUCUGGGAAACUGCCUGAUGGAGGGGGAUAACUACUGGAAACGGUAGCUAAUACCGCAUACCAUCAGAUGUGCCCAGAUGGGAUUAGCGAGUUGGUGGGGUAACGGCUCACCAAGGCGCCGAUCCCUAGCUGGUCUGAGAGGAUGACCGUCCACCCUAGAGAUGAGACACGGUCCAGCAUCCUACGUGAGGCAUCGUGGGCGAAUAUUGCACAAUGGGCGGAAGCCUGAUGCAGCCAUGCCGCGUGUAUGAAGAAGGCCUUCGAGUUGUAAAGUACUUUCAGCGUGGAGGCGUUACCCGCAGAAGAAGCACCGGCUAACUCCGUGCGAGCAGCCGCGGUAAUAC